rnacentral:rRNA from 1 species
GAUGAACGCUGGCGGCGUGCUUAACACAUGCAAGUCGAACGGUGAAGCAGGAGCUUGCUCUUGUGGAUCAGUGGCGGACGGGUGAGUAACACGUGAGCAACCUGCCCCUGACUCUGGGAUAAGCGCUGGAAACGGCGUCUAAUACUGGAUAUGUGAUGUGACCGCAUGGUCUGCAUCUGGAAAGAAUUUCGGUUGGGGAUGGGCUCGCGGCCUAUCAGCUUGUUGGUGGGGUAAUGGCUCACACAGGCGUCGACGGGUAGCCGGCCUGAGAGGGGGACCGGCCACACUGGGACUGAGACACGGCCCAGACUCCUACGGGAGGCAGCAGUGGGGAAUAUUGCACAAUGGGCGGAAGGCUGAUGCAGCAACGCCGCGUGAGGGAUGACGGCCUUCGGGUUGUAAACCUCUUUUAGCAGGGAAGAAGCGAAAGUGACGGUACCUGCAGAAAAAGCACCGGCUAACUACGUGCCAGCAGCCGCCGCCG